UACAGAGGGGGCAAGCGUUGUUCGGAAUUACUGGGCGUAAAGGGCGCGUAGGCGGCCUGCUAAGUCGAACGUGAAAUCCCUGGGCUCAACCCAGGAACUGCGUCCGAUACUGGUUGGCUUGAAUCCGGGAGAGGGAUGCGGAAUUCCAGGUGUAGCGGUGAAAUGCGUAGAUAUCUGGAGGAACACCGGUGGCGAAGGCGGCAUCCUGGACCGGCAUUGACGCUGAGGCGCGAAGGCGUGGGGAGCGAACGGG
rnacentral:rRNA from 1 species